CUAUGAAGGAGCAACGCCGCGUGAGUGAUGAAGGCUUUCGGGUCGUAAAACUCUGUUGUUAGGGAAGAACAAGUACAAGAGUAACUGCUUGUACCUUGACGGUACCUAACCAGAAAGCCACGGCUAACUACGUGCCAGCAGCCGCGGUAAUACGUAGGUGGCAAGCGUUAUCCGGAAUUAUUGGGCGUAAAGCGCGCGCAGGCGGUUUCUUAAGUCUGAUGUGAAAGCCCACGGCUCAACCGUGGAGGGUCAUUGGAAACUGGGGAACCUGAGUGCAGAAGAGAAAAGCGGAAUUCCACGUGUAGCGGUGAAAUGCGUAGAGAGUGGAGGAACACCAGUGGCGAAGGCGGCUUUUUGGUCUGUAACUGACGCUGAGGCGCGAAAGCGUGGGGAGCAAACAGGAUUAGAUACCCUGGUAGUCCACGCCGUAAACGAUGAGUGCUAAGUGUUAGAGGGUUUCCGCCCUUUAGUGCUGCAGCUAACGCAUUAAGCACUCCGCCUGGGGAGUACGGUCGCAAGACUGAAACUCAAAGNAAUUACGGGGGCCCGCACAAGCGUCA
rnacentral:rRNA from 2 species